CAUUUCACUUGUUCCAUUUUGAGAAUGUCUAGCUGUGGCAGUAACUGUGGGUGUGGAAGUAGCUGCAGCUGUGGCAGCAACUGCGGGUAUAUAAUCACUCUUUUUUUUUCUAAGAAUCACUUUUUUUGUCUAAUAUGUUUCAUUAUCUCAUAAAAAUUAACUUUUGAACUGUGUUUUUGUUCUUCAAUUUAUACGUGAAUUCUAAUCUGUUAGUGCUUUUCCGUAAACGCGCUUUUUGCUUUUGUUCUUUACCGAAUCUGUUGAUGUUUUUUUGAGUUCUGUUUUGUGCUCUGUUUCCUAAGCGAUGUUUAUUCCAAGGUUUAGUUUACCUCUGCUUCUUUGAUCUCCCCUAUAUUUUUUGUCGUAAACUUUUCUUUAUUUUUUUAUUUUUAUUGACGCUUUAUUUUAAAUUUCUCUUUAAUUUAACUAUCUAGAAUGAUUAUAUAUAUAUAUAUAUAUAUAUAUAUUUAAAUUCUUUGUUUUGAUUAAAAUUAAAAAUUAAAAAAUAUUUUUUCUCAUAUCUUUUACCUUUCAAUUCUUUAUUUAUAAUAAUAUGGUAUCAUCUCUAUAGCCUAAUUAUUAUUAGAGAAAUAAUUUUUUGGAAAUUGUACAGUGAACCUUCGUCAUUCUUUUUUAAAUUUCAUGUUAAGCAUCCUUUCAUGAAAUAAAAGAAUAUUAUUUUAAAAAAAAAAAACUAUCAUCUCUUCUUCACGAAAAAUCCAGAUAUCUUGUGGUUGAUAAGUGUCUAAACCAUGCAAUAAUUUUCCCCUCUUUUAAGCUCUGUUUUCUUUCAGAAUCGUUUCUUAUUUGAACAUUGGGAUUUGAUAAAUUAAGAGGGUAGAACUUAGCUAGUCUUGAAAACUAGGUUUUUCGUUAAGUUUAUUUUGUGCAUAAAGAGAAAAUAAAAACUUUGUAUUUUAGUUACAUUAAACUCUUCGUCAAAUUGUCAAAAAAUAUUACACUUUCCGUUUUCUAUUUUUUGUGCAUGGAUUUUCUCACAUGAUCUCACUAAAAUUGACUUUGUAUGAAAAGAGUGUCUGUUUUCUUACAUAUCUUUUAUUUUAAUUUUAUUUCCCCCACAUGAACCUAAUUGUUUGUUGAAUUUUUUUUGCCACAGUUGCAGUAAGUACUCGUUUGACAUGAGCUAUGCUGAGAAGACAAGCACAGAGAGUGUAGUUUUGGGCUUUGGAACUGUGAAGGCUGAAUUUGAAGGUGCUGAAAUGGCUGAGGAAAAUGGCUGCAAGUGUGGAGCAAACUGCAGUUGCGACCCAUGCACCUGCAAAUGAGGUGAAGAUAUAAAGCUUGAAGGAGAUAUAGCUGCAUAUGUACCAAAAGUACACACUUAUAAUAAUUACAAUAAUAAGUAUGUGUUGUGUUCAAUCAACUGGAUUUGAAGUUUCAUAAUAAAAUGGGCAUGGCUAGCCUUUGCAAGUUCAAAUGCUCUGGGAUUUCUUGUGGGUGUUAUCUAUAAGCUAUGAUCACUUUGUGUUUGUUCAAUCUUAUAUAAAUAUGUAAUUUUAAUCAUCAAUCAUUAUGCUUAUAACUGAAAUUAAUAUUACUCUUUCAUCUAUUGGAGAUCACACAUUAAAUAGAGAUUAAGAUAUUUAUUUUUUAAUAAGUAGGUGCAAAUCUUACCUUAUGAAUUGAUUUUAUGAGAUUGAGUUAGGUUUAAAGUUCACUUCUUAACAUGGUAUUAGAGCCAUUUAAAACUUAUCAUAGAUCAUUAUGAGAUGAGUGACCUAACUUUUUUUUUUCAUUGUUAUCUCAUAUGCUAGUGAUGAACUUACAAAUUUGAAAAUCAAAUGUGGAAACUUAAGAAAGGGGAAAGCAUAAAACCUAAAAAGAAGCUUUCUUCUUUCCUUUCUCAUAUGUAAUUGUCUUUUCGAUCCUAUUUAUGUUCUGGUGGUUCUGAUAGUUGUUAUGAGACACCUUAUCUUUUAUUUGGAUUUGGAUGGGUAAUUUUGUAAUUUUUAAGACAGUUGAGUAUUUUGAAUUAAUAUUAUUCUAAAUACUAAAUAGUUUAAUUUUUUAAAUGUUGUAUAUGAAUAAUAAUAAAAUUUAGUUAAUUUUUUUUUCAUUUGCAUAAAGUAUUUCAAUUAUCAUCAAAUAUAAAAAAAAAAUAUUUAAAUAUUAAAUAAUGUUUACAAUUUAAAAAUAUUAACAAUAAUAGUUAUUUUUUAGUUGAUCUUGAUUAAUGUUAUUUUUUUAUCAAAAUUUAUCAACCUUUUCUAAUUGAUAUUUACACACAAAAAUCUAUCAUAAGUAUAGUUUAAAUGAUAUCAAUUGAUAUUGUGCUCAAGCCUCAUAGUUAACCUAGUUGGGCUAGGGCUAAGUGACUUCUCGUCUGGGUGUUAUUGGGUUCACUUAGGCAAGUUAGACGAAAACAGGCCCAACGUCAUUGGAGUGAUUUCGCCUUGGCGAGAUGGAGCUCGCUUGGGCAAGAUCCUCUGCGAGCUUCGGGCUUAGGCGAGUUUGGGCGAGCUUGGGUGAGUGUUGGUGCGUUCCAAUUUUCCCUUUUUAGCUUUGUUUAUUCUCCUUUUGGCCAUUUCAUCUCCAUUCUUCCAUAAAAUCCUGAAAUUAACACAAGUUUGAGAAUAAAUUGUUUUUCUUCAAAUUAAAAUCACAAAAUAUGUAAAAAUAAAUAAAUUCAUAAAUUAGAGGUUAUUUUAUAGUUAUUUUGUCAAUUUAUAUCCAUAAGUGCUUGUAUUUUAAUAUGAAAUAUUACUGAAAUCUAAAACUUAUAUCCUUGUCAAAAACUUCUACCCUUAAAAUCUUUUGUGAAAACCUUUAUCAAUUCUUUUUGUGAAAAUUUUGAAAACCUUAUGAAAAUAUUUUAGUCAUAAAAAAUGAUUGAUAUUACACAUCAUUCUAGUGUGCAUGAGAGUCUUAAGGAUGAAGAAGGGGAACAUCUGAGGGAAAAAAUUCAAAAUACAAAAAAAAAGAGAUAACUGAGUUGAAAGACAUGUUUUCUCAAUUCAUGAAGAGUCGAGAAAAAUCUAGGAGCAACCAUGGAGAGGGAUCUAGUGGGAGAAGGGACUAUCAUGGUGACCCUUAUUCCUAAAGUGGAGAAGUGUUUAGUAGUCAUCACAAUGUUGACUACUAAGGAACCUAGGUAGACCUUCCCACGUUCUAUGACAAAAAGAAUGUUAAAGAAUAUUUAGAUUGGGAGAUGAAGGUUGAGAAACUUUUUAAAUGUCACCAAGCAAACAAAGAAAUAAAAGUGUCCAUAGCUACUUUAAGUUUUCCAUAAUAUGUCAUGUCUUGGUUGAAACAAAGGAAAUAUGAUGUUACAAUUAGAAGAAAAAUAUAGAUAUUGAAUUGGCAUGAAUUAAAGGCGUGCAUGAGAAAAAACUUUGUUCCACUUUCAUAUGAGAAAAAUAAAAAACUUAGAGAAGAAAUGAAAGAGUUGUAAGAAAAUAAAAAAUAAUUAUAGAAUGAGAAUGGGAGUUUAUAAGAAGAGAGAUGAAGUUUAGAGAAAAAGUGAAAAUUCUUAUCAACAGACAAAGAAGAGAAAGAAAGAGAGAGAAGAAAAAGAAGAAAAAUAGAUGUUAAAGAAAUCCAGAAAGGAAUAGGUGUCUCUUAUAACACCCCUUACAAGCAUAGUUGAGAAAUAAUAUUUUAAGGGAGAUUGUAAUACUUUGAACUCUUCUUUACACUUAAAUCAUUAUGCUAACUCUUCUUCCCAAAAAUCUCAAAAACAUCAUUUUAUCUUGUUGUUACAUGGCACAAAGCAAUGACAAAAACAAAGUGAAGAAAUCAAUGUUUCUAAAACAAUGACCCAUAUUUUCCUUUAAAACUUUUGCAAAAAUAAUAAAGGGCAUUGUUUCAUUGCAUUUUCUUUUAAAAACAACUUUCUUAGUUUUCUUUUAAUAAAAAAAAUUAUUUAAAUUUUGUUAUUUUUUCUACAGAGGGAUCUUUGAUCCCGGAGGAAAAUAGAAAAAAGUAAAGAAAUGUGGCAAUCCAUGAGCAACAUUUAAAUCUAAGGACAUAGAAGCUUCAAGGAAGAAGACUCUACAUUUGAAGACUAGAACACUAGGAUUUUCUUCUUUCUUCUUAGUCUUGUACAAAUUAUAUAGGUAUAUUUUCUUCUUUGUAUUUUCCAAGAUUUUGUAGAGACAUGGAUUUCCUUUCGGUCCAAAACCUCAAUUUGGGCUUGAAAAUUCAGCCAAAAACCCUAGAGAGCAUUGUCAAAUUUGGCCAAGACAUGAAGGAGAAGAAGCUUGGAGCAUGAAAGUCCCACACUAGAAAUUCAUUUGCCACGUAAAAAAAGUUGGCAAUCACUCAUUCCAAUAGUUUCUUUACUACAAGUACCCAGACGGUUUAAAGUUUGAACUAGGGACGAAAAUCAAUUUCACGUUAUACUACAAUAUGAAAAACAUAUUUAACCCUUUAAUUAAUUAAUUAAUUUUAUUUUUUAUUAUUUGAAAUAAUUUGUUAAAUUUUGUAUUUUAUUUAAAAAAUAUUUUGCAAAAUAAUGGUAUAAACAAUUUUGUUAACUUUUUAUAUUUUUAUAGUUUUAUAUUUUAUAAAUAAAAAAUUAUAACUUAAUAAAUAAAUUAUUGAUUAAAUGAAAAAUGAAAGAAAUUUUAUAGAACCCAUUAUUUAAUAAUCCAAAGAAAGAUUCUUGAUUGGAGAUACAUAGUUUUCAUAGAACUACAUAUAUUGGAAAGUGUAAAAGUGAAUGAUAUCGAUUAUAAUGUGACACUCGUAUAUGUUCUCCAUGAUGGAUGUCCUCAAGACCACUUUCUCUUUGUUUUCAAAGCACAAAUUUUCACUUCUUCUCUACUUUCUUAUUUGGUUUCUUUUGGCAUCCAUAGAUAUGUAUGUUAAAGUUGUUGAUACCAUGUUUGUUACCUUUGCAUUUAUACCUUGGCCACGAUAGCUACAUAUAGCAUAAAUCCCUACCAUUUCAAAAUGAACUGAAGCACCAUAAUCAAAGUCAAGUAGGUUUUCUUUUGUUAGCAUUUGCAGCUACCUAAUCACAAUUUUAGGGGUGUCAACUUGUGCGUGCUAGAGGUUAAUUUGGUUCACUCCCAAAUCUAUGAACUCCUCAUGGUGGGUUGGAGCACUACUCUUGCUCAACCAUUUGCACUCUAGUUUACAAUCAAAUUACAUAAAGAAAAAUUGAGGCAUAAGUUUUAAAAGAAAUUCAUAUUUAUAAGGUAUAACAUCCAAAUAAAUCACAUUUGUUAAUUGUUGGAUUGUACUAUUGUUCAAAGAAAUCACAUUUGUUAAAUGAAGGAGUUCACAUCUUUUAAAUACAAGGACAAACUUUUAUCAUACUUUUUUCUUAUAGUAUAUAGUUUUGUCAUUAUCUAUGAUGGAUCUUUCGAGGGGGUUUAUUACUUACUCUCUUUUUACCAUCAUAUAAGUGCCUAAAACAUUCAUUAGCAAGAUUUUUAUAGUCACCAAAACGAAUUAUUGGCUCUGAUACCAUUAAUGAGUAUUUCGAAAGGGAUUCACAUGAAAGAUUCAACAACAAUGACACAUGAGUCAAAUCAAUAUAAGGGAUGUUGCUUAUGGUGAUAUUUUUAAAGAAAGUCAAGGUGAAUAUAUUGGCAAUCAAUUUCUAUGAUAAGCUUAUUGUGUUAUUUUAGCUAUUGAGAUCUCCUAGGCUUAUGGUUAUAGGUGUGUUUGAUUAGAAUAUGAUUCCUCCUUAGUAUUUCAAGUUUUGUCUUCCCCUCAAUUUUCUCCUUAAGCUCUUAGAGGUAGAUGGAGGAAAUGCAUUAAAUGUUGAGAUGAUAUGGAGUUUAAGAUAUCUCAAAUUUAUCGUGAAGAUAAUCACUAUGCUCAUAGACUAGCUAUUUUGUAAUAGAUAUUAAUUCCCAAUUACCAUUUUGUUUAAUUCUAUUUAUGAGUGUCUUUUGUAUAUUUCUCAACAUGAGUUUGAUUUGGUUUUCCCAUAUUUUUGUUCUUGUUUUCCUUUUUAUAUAUAGUUUUUCAUGUAAUGACAUAUAAUUGUUUAACUUUGGAGACGUGAAAAGGUUCAUAGUAAUACCUAGCGAGUUUUCUUAAAAAAAAUAGGAGGAAACAAACUUUAGCUAAUAUAAGUUCCCAAAAAAAACAAAUGUUUUUAUUUGUGCAUGAACUGCAUUGAAGAGGAAUACAUAAACUAAUUUUGCAAAUGAAGGAAUUUAUUUCAUUUUUCUACUAGUUUUAAUCUUCCUUGGGUAUUCAUGAAAAAUUAUCUAAACGAAUUCUAUGCGAUUUAUUAGUGUUAAUUAUAUUAAGUUAGCUCAUACAACAAGAUGUUUAGUCAUAAAAAAAAGUUGUUGGUUUACAUUAUCAUAAACGCAAUCUAAUCUUAACAAACAUUUUUCUUAAACUAAAUUUUAUGAUUACUUAUACCAUUUUCACUUAAUUUAAUGCAAUCACAAGAAAAGAUAUUAGCAAACACAAGUUAGGGUGAUACAUUAAUCAUCAAUAAGUGUCUCUUUGAUCUCACACAAAGGUACUAAAAAAAUGCAAAAUCAAUCAAUAUUAUAUACACUAGAAAAUGAACAAAUCUACAAAAGCAAAAUGUAUCUUUUCUAAUUGUGUCUCCUGAAUAAUGCAAAAGGUAUAAAUGAAAGAGCACUGAAGUUUGUUCAUGAGAGCCAGAAACACUACUAUGGACAGAUGAACAUCUCCUUCCAAUGAUCAUCACUUUAGUAAAAACUCAACUGCAAAGUUGAGUACAUAGUUGUUGGAUCUUGGAACUGGUUAGAUCUUGCAUGAAGUAUGUACUGGAUUUACCAUUGCUUGAGCAUGUUACGUUCAGCUGGUUACCAAGCUGAUUUGACUGCAUUAGUGGUAUUUCAACACCAUUAAUAUCAGACAUUAAGAACAAAAAACCUUUUUAAACGGUUAACAUUGAGUACAAAGCAUCUUUGGACAUUGAUAAUAAAAAUGUAGCAUGUCAUGAAAACAUUGAAGUAAUGAUGUUUUUAGCCCUACAAAUGGGUACUUUCACUUUUAAUUCCUAAAAAAUAAAUCAUCUAUUUUUUGUCCAGUUUAUAGAAAAGUGUCAAAUGUGGUCUCUAUUUCCAUGAACAAACAAGGGACCAAAAUGAAACAACUUACUCUGAAGAUCAAGGACCACAUGUAACACAUUGUUAUAAAUGAGAGACUAAAAGAAUACAAUUUUGUAUAACAAACAUAUGCCCUGUUCGUGAACUAAAAACAUUUUUAAUCUGAGAACAUGUGUUCACUCACCAAUAUGAUGUUUUCUUUGCAGAUCGCUAAAUAGUUUAGAGAUUUUGUACAAGAAUAGUACAAUAAUACAUGAAAAAGAUGUUACAGAUAAAUAACCCUAUCAUUUGUCGGUGAAAAUAUGUAAUUUCACAGGAUCUGAUAUUAUUCAUGAGAAUAGGCUUUCAUGUAAAAUGCUUACCACACAAUAUGAUGGUUCUGUAUGGCAGCUCCAUUUUGAAGUUGGAACACAAGACAGAUAAUGGCACCAGGAACAGUGAUCAUUUGCAUCAACACCACGGAGAAGUGCGACAAGCCCAACAGCAAGCCUAACAUACAAAAAGUUAACAUGGACAGAAAAAAUGGUCUAUAUGAAAUAUGACUACUAGGAAAACACAAGAAUACAAAUAAAAGGAAAACCACAAGAAAACAAAUAAAAUGACUGAAGAUUUGGUUCCAUAAAAAUCUAUGAUCAAAGAUUCCUAGACCAUCUAAAGACACUAGACCCUCUGGGGGUUAGAGUGUGUUAGGAUAGGCCCAGCUGUUCUAUCAGAGUGUGUUAGGAUAGGCCCAACUGUUCUAUCAGAGUGUUUGGUGGUACCAGACUGUUUGUCUUUACCAGAGCUACUAGUCAGACCGUCUGUGGCAUCAGUUUGACUUGCAGCAUCAAUUAGCAUUUCCAAUUCCUAACUGAAUCACUAUGCACGUGACUUUGUAAUUAUUUGGUACGUCCUUUUUGAAAGUUAGUUAGAGAACUUUAACUGUAUAAAUAGGACCUUAUAAUGCAUAGUUAUCUUUAACUUAGAGUUGAGAGUUCACGAGUGAGAUAGACUUCGUGUUGUAAUCUCAUAUUCUUUCUUAGUGAAUUUCGUGUUUGUGGACGUAGAUUGAGUUUCAGUUGAACCACGUAAAUUUUUGUGAUUUUUCAUUUACUUUUCCUAUUUACCUACUAUAUGUUCCUGUGGUUUCUUUUGUUAUCGUCUAACAUUUGUGACUAGUAAACGAUCCAGUGAAUUUGUGUCUAUUUUUCUUACAAACUGGUGUGAUGAGCAUGGAGAGAAGGAAACUCAAUCAUCAUGACUUCCACAAAGUAUGAGGUUGAAAAAUUCACUGCCUUGAAUGAUUUUGGGUUAUGACGAUUGAAGAUGCAUGCUUUUCUGAUUCAACAGGGCCUCCUUGAAGCUUUGGAAGAAGAAUCCAAGCUUCACAGAACCAUGGCUGAGAAGGACAGGACUGCGCUAUUGGAGAAGGCUCAUAGUGCAAUUGUUUUCAGUCUUGAUGACAAGGUGUUAAGGCAAGUUUCGAAGGAGAAGACUACAGCAGGGCUAUGGAAGAAGUUGGAAAGCUUGUAUAUGAAGAAGUCCCUGGUGAACUACUUGAAGUAGGCAUUGUACUCGUAUAAGAAGAGUAUUGAUAAGGUAGUCAAUUAACAACUACAGGAAUUUAAUAAAUUGAUUCUUGGAUCUUGAAAUUAUUGAUGUCCAAAUUGAUGAUGAAGAUCAAGUGUUAUCAUUUCAAAGAGACCUUGUUGUAUAUAAGAGAAACUUUCUCUCGAGGAGGUUCAAGUUGCCUUGAACUCGAAAGAGUUGAAUGAAAAGUUUGACAUUGAGGCAUCAAAUACUGGAGAUGGCCUGGUAACAAGGGAGGAGAUUGUUUAACCAUGAUAACGGAGGAGGAGUUAGAUGGAGGUUGAAGUCCAAAGCUCGUGAUGGAAAGGUAGUAAACGUCUACCGGUGUUACCACUAUAAGAAGGAAGGUCACACAAGAAAAUAUUUUCCUCAGUCAAAAGGUUGGAAAUCCUUCUGGUAGACGGGUAUGAUGGACCAUCUACGUAUGGUGAAGCAACUCUAGUGUUGAUGAUUGUGAAUGGAUCAUGGAUGCUGGCUAUUCAUUUCACAUGACACCUAAUCGUCUAUGGUUCCAACAGUUUGCAAAACUUGAAGGAGGGUAUAUUCUCCUUAGUGAUAGCAGCGGCUAUAAGAUAACUAGCAUUGGAACAAUUAAGUUUUGUCUCCAUGAUGGAACUGAGAAGAUGCUUGAAGAAGUUAGGUAUGUGCCUAGCUUGAAACGAAAUUUAAUAUCCCUUGGUGAACUUGAAAAGAAGGGCUAUGUAUUAAAGGUGAAAGGGGGUGUUGAAGGUGAUGAGGAGGUCAUGGUAGUCAUGAAAGGUGUGAGGAAGAAUGCCUUGUAUAUGCCUUGGAAGGUGUUGUAAUCUCUAGGUCAACCUCUAUUGAUGAGAAGACCAUCUACUCUAAGACAGAUUUAUGACACAAAAGGUUAGGUCACGUAAGCGAGAAGGGCUUCAUGGAGUUGGACAAGGCUUGUUAAAAGCCUAUAAAAUUUGUUUCAACAUGGGUCAGCAGAUGACAAAGGGGACUCUUGAUUACAUUCAUGCUGAUCUAUGGGAUCCAUCUCCUACUCCAUUACACUCUAGUACUAGAUACCUCUUGCCGAUUAUUGAUGAUUAUUUGAGGCACCGAACGGUUGCAGGAACUCCUCAACAUAUUAAGUGUAUCAUUAGCAAAGACAUUGUCUUCAAUGAAACUGAAACGGCAAGACAAAAGUUUUUUAAUGUAUGCUUGUUGAUAAUAGUGAUGCUGAGCUGAAAAGAAGCUUUGUGGCCUAAGGGUCUUAGCCAAGGAGCUGAAGGUGCAGGGUCAGGUUGUCACAGUCUACUGUGACAAUAGUAGUGCUAUACAAUUUUCAAAGAACUAAUUUUAUCAUGAGAGAAUGAAUCAUAUUGACGUGAAGCUACAAUUUGAGAAAGGAGAUUGCAGAGCAUUUGUAAGGUGGCAAAAGUUUCAACGAAUCAUAAUCCCUCUUAUAUGAUCAUAAAAGGUUUUGUCUGCCAGCAAGUUCUUUCAUUACCUGGAUCUAAUCCAGUUGAUAGGUGAUUAAGCCUAUAAUGGGCUUAGAGGUAGUGAGUGUUUUAUCACUCAAAAUAUGUGUUGAAUCAAAGUGGAGAUUUAUAAAGAUUUGAUUCAGUAAAAAUUUAUGUUCAAAGGUUCAGGUUCCUAGACCGUCUAGAGGCACUAGAACGUCUUGGGGUUAGAGCAUCUAGUGGUACAAGACCGUCUUGACCAGAGCUUCUGGCCAAAUCGUCUGCUACAUCAAUUUGACUUCCAACGUCAGUUGGCGUUUCCAACUCCUAACUGAAUCAUUGUGCAUGUGACUUUGCAACUCUUUGGCACAUCCUUUUUUGGAAGUUAGUUAGACAGUUUUAAAUGUAUAAAUAGGACCUUGUAAUGAACAGUUUAUCUUUAACUUAAAUUUGAGAGUUCACUAGAGAGAGGCUUUGUGUUGUAAUCUCAGAUUCUUUCUUAAUGAAUUUUCUGUCGUUGACUGUUUCAUCUAACCAUGUAAAUUCCUCUGUGUGAUUCUUCGUUUACUUUUCUUGUUUACCUUCUGUCUAUUCUUGUGGUUUCUUUCGUUAUCGUCCGGUAUUUGUGACUAGUAGACGGUCCAGUGAAUUUGUGUCUAUUUUCCUUACAAUGACAAUGCAGACAAAAGUGGCAUUGCAAUCACUCACAAAAGUGAAUCUCAUAUUUACAAUAAUGAAGAAUUGAUCCAUUUCUACCUCAAUCUUGGGUAGCUAGGCUUUGUGAAGAAACACAAAACAAAAUAUUUCAAGAAAUCCUAACUGUUACAUUGGUUUGAUCCAACAUGAACUAGCUUUUUAGAUCUUCUUAGUAGUGAUAAAGACGCAGUAGCUAGACUUGCUCUAGCGUGACUUUCAGAAGCACUAAAACAAAAACAUGCAUGUUGAGACAACUACAAGUUACUACACCUUAGCAUUUUUUUCCUGGUUCAUUUACUAUGGUACUCAGAACUGACACUAUUUCUACUUCAGUUCAGAAAAGAGAAUUCCUACCGUAUUUAAAAUUACUUAAGUUUCAAAGCAAUCAAGUUACUAUAGCAAUUAACAACUAAAAGAGCUUGCAUCCAAUCUAGAGUGUAGAGUUCCAUCGAUGACAUAUCCUGUCUACAUGCUAUAAUCUGCUUGUAACUUUAAGGGCAAGGUCAAAGCUUCUUUUCAAUAUUUAUUAUUUAAGACAUAUCUCUAAUUAUAUUUGGUCACAUUUUAUCUUCUAUGUCACUCUAGUUCUGUAAGCAGUAGAAUUGGGAGAUUCCUACCUAGUGCACUCCUGAAAAGGUCGUUAGGGAAAUUCUAAUGUCAUUCAAGCCAGUAAAACAUUACGAUAAAUUUUUCAAGAAGCAUUAAAUUGUAACAUUAUUUUCAUGGGUUAACCUUAGGGAACCUUCUCAAAUUUAUAUAUAUUUAUUCAUGGGCAAAAUUAGCAUAUCAUAUACUGGUAUUUUCAAUAGGACCAAAACUUUCCAUUGAUUUAUACUACUCUUGUACUAUACUCCCUAUUGAACAUCAGAGAAUUAAACCACCAUUUGCCAGAGUUUACUCCACUAUUUACAUGAAAAUUCAAUAGAAGAAUAGUCACUGAUAAAAAAUCAUAAAUAUGAUAUUUUAUUGCUAUCUACCAUUUGUUCACUAUUAAAACAUAUAAGUACAAAUUCCAAUCAACAAUAACAAUAGAGUGAGUAUUACAUAGACCAGCUUUGCACGACAUAAAAAGAACUAUCUAUCAAUGUUUGUUUCCUGUUAGGAUCUUUUCUGCAGAACUUUAAUAUUGGUUUCGUUACCAAAAACCUAUGAUCUAGUGUCUGUGUCUAUACUAUGAGCCUUAAUUUCAGAUUAUUCAUUCAUUAGUGCCACUUGGAUUGGAAUCACAUUAUUUAGUUCUCUUUAGUCCUCAGAGAUUCAAGUAGAAAUUGCAGUUAGUCGUUCUAAAAUUUCAUAUAACUACUAUCAUAUUUUUUAAAGAAUCUUCCUUUUUAAACCAGCCAUUUUUCUUUGUUUGUAUUACUUAAUAUCUGCUAUGAACUAUGAAUAUAUGAACAAUUAUCUAACUAAUAUUCUCAAGAAGAAUUAUUUUAAAAAUAAUUGUCAAAUUAAUUAGAAUCAUGAAACUGAUUUUUAAUAUACAGUAAAUAUGUAAGAGCAGAUUUUGAUGGGUUUGAUCCGUUUUUAGCUUCUGCCUAAAGCAUACAACUUGGUUUCUCAUGGUACAUGUAUUUUUCUUUUAGUAUACUAGAAACUGAAUCCAAACCUCUUACUACCUGCGGUAAACCAAGACUGCAUCUACCCCAAUUACUUGAGGAAAGUCCAGGUUUCAUGUUAUAUGUCAGCAGGGUUAAUUAUGUUAGAGUCUCUCCUUGCAUCAUACACUACAAAGAGCAACAUGAUCUCGAAAAAUUGACACUUCAAAAAAAUGCUUACCCAACAACAAGAAUGACGAGAGAGAAGACCCAUAAGAAGCACUGAUAUUUUUUGAAUUUAGGCUUAGCUCGUCCAGGAGAAUAAUUUAGGGGAGCAUAUCGUUGGUUAACCCAUCCGAACUGGGGACGUAUCAGAAACACAAAUCCGAGAAGAAAUCCUGUAAGAAAGCCUCCAAUAUGAGCAAAAUUGUCCACAUGUGGGAGAAUUCCCACUGCUAGAUUGAUAACAAUGAUUAUCACAAGGGUGAGGAGUGCUGCUAGCUUCACAUGAAAAGAAAAUCAUGAUUUUCAGUAGGUUGCUUUUAAGAUGCUCUUUGCUUGUGAAACACUUAACAGUUCCAAAUGAGAAAUUUAAUAUGCACCUUGUUCUCAUAUAUAGUCCAGUUAGUAAUCAGUUCUGAAAGCAUGCCUCCCAGCAAGCCGAAAAGUGCACCAGAAGCACCCACAGAAAUGUUUGACUGAAUGAAAAGAGCAGAAAGCAAACUGCCCCCAAAUCCAGAUAUGACAAACAGCAGUCCAAUAAGCACUGUUGUAUAAGCAUGGAAGAAUCAGUUAUGAAUUUAGAGCUAAACCAGGCAAACAAUAACAUGACACAAGAAAAUCAUACAUCUUAGUUGAGCAACUAAAGUCUAAAAGAUAACUUUUAGAGAAAUCAAGUCUAAAACAAAAGUCUGAGAUAUUUGCAGGACCAAAAAUAUAUAUGUGAUCCUAUGUGUCCUCUAGUAGGUGAUAACUACAAACCACGUAAAAAAGAAACAAGCCUUAAUCUUCAAUAUUUUACAUCAUCACACAUACGUACCAAACCCAAAUUCUUGCUCUAGCCGAAUUCCAAUUACUAGAAUACCCAACAUAUUUGCCAACAGAUGGAAAACCCCAGCAUGCAGCCACAUACAAGAGAUAAGGCGCCACCCCUGGUGUCUAUGAACCACUCUGCUCACAUCAAGAGCCCCCAUCUUCUGUAACCUGAACAAUAAUCAAAUCACGUAUCUUCAAUGCCAGUAACAGUCAAAUUCAUAAUCCAGAUUUCUCAUCCGUUAAUGAAAACCACUCAUAAAUAAAUCCCAGUACUAUUUCAACAUCAUCACCACCAACAUUAUGUGAUACUAAAUUCAAAUAAUACAUAAUCAUAAACACUUAAUAGUCAAAGCAAUUAAAACUUGUUGAUAUCUCAAGAUACUACUUAAAAGUAUCUAAGUCAUCCAACAACAUGCAUCAUCCACAAUUUACAAUCUGUGAUCUAUAACAAUUACAAUGUGAUAUUCUAUUUUGGUUUUUGUUUCUUAUUCAACACUUUUAUUCUUAAUUUUUAUUAAGUAACUGGCAUGUUUAUCUCCAUUUCAUUUUCUUUUCAACUUCCUCACUCUCUUUUCCUAAUUCUCCUUCAUUCUCCUAUGCUUUGUCCCUCUUUCAUUUUCUUCUGUUAUUUUAAAAAAGAGGAAUCUUAGGAACAUUUUUUUCUAACACUCUUUCAAAGACUUUAUUUUUAUCAUGAAAAAUUAUUCAAAACGAAAGAGAGUAUUAGAGAGAGUAACCUUUCUCCAUUUCUCAGUCUUAAUAAUCACAGUGAAACUUCAACAAUAACUUUAAAACUAGAACUGUAUUGAACACAUAAUCUCAAAGUAAACUAAAAGAAAGAAAAAAAGUACUGAAAUAUUCAAAUACAAUAAUAACAGUAACAACAGUACAAUUAAAUGUCUUAAAGGAAAGUCCCCACUUCCCCCAACAGCAUUUACAACCACAACAUCAAGGUUUCCAUUGAACCGCAAUUGCAGCCAGAUUUGUCCACCUAUUAUCAAGGAUCAUAACAAUUCCGGUCCCUUUUUAUCCAAAACUUUUUGCAAUAUCAAAGAUCACUAUUUCAAACGUUGGUACAAUUACCCAUAACUGAAUAACACUUUAAAAACAAUUAGUUUUAGAACCCAUUUUAGUAAAAAGAAAAAAAAAACAAAUUUUUACCCAAAAUAUGCUCACGAAAACUCGUUAAACCCAGACAGAGUAUCACCAACGCAAAAUAGUCUCAUUGCACGACCAAAAAACCAAGGUGGUGUCAACAAUAACAUACAAGGCUGCAGUUGAGUUGAUUGAACCGUGUGUGAAUUGUAGUUCAAAAAUUUAACUGUGCCCAAUUCGUAUGAAUGACAAGAAUAAUACAAAAAGUGACUCACGUCAAUGAAGAAGGACCCAAGAGGGGGUUUUCCUUGAAGGGCUGGAAGGAGAAGCGACCCAAGAAGGAGGCAAUGCAGGAGACAGAGUUGUGGGGGCAGUUGUUGACAUACAUAGUGAUCACAAACAAAACUAUGUUAGCAACAACAAAGAGGGGUAUCAACCAAGAGAACCACUUGCGGUAAUGCUUCACUUCCUCUCUGGGGUACUGAACCGGGGAGAGAGUUUGCACGGCCACAGGGUGCACCAUGUUGGUGUUGCUUCCCUUGGGGUUGACCCUGAGGUGGAUCUCCAAGGGGCGUGGUUCUCCGGGCAUGAAUGUGGGUUGAUCUGGUAAGAGUUUGGGAGUGGAAUGGAUGGAGUCAAAGGAAGGUGAUGUGAGGAUUUUAAGAAGGGAUAAUGAGGUUUAGCUCAACCACUUCGGGUGGACUUUUGAAACAUUAUUUGUAUUUGUUUAUCUAACCUUUUGUUUUCGUUGAACAUGGAAAUCUGGUUUUAUACUCUCUCAAUGAAUUUUGGGAAACGGGGAUAACGUCCUAUAGAAAGGAAGUUCAGAUUUUCAGCAAAGAAAAAAACAAAUAGUUUUUUAUUUUAGAUAGGAUAGGUUUUUUAGAUUUUACUCUUGUUUACAUGUAAAUGACUCUUUAGAAUAGGGAUUCAAUUGAGAGUCGAUUACUCGAUGGGUCCAUAGUCCGCUACUAAAAAUGUAAAGAUGAAUUUAUUAACUUAGUCUAUUAGACUUGUUUAGGUCUGUCAUGCAUAAUUCGCAAUUUGUAUGGAUCAAUAGCAGGACGAGCGGGUUGAUCCGCUGACCCGUAUAAAUAAAAAAUUAUAUUUUAUUUUUUUUGCAAAAAAAAAUAUCUCAUGCACUCAUUAUUGCGGUGUAGUUUUUAUUUUAUUUUAUUUUAAACAAAAUUGGAUUUAAUAUACUACAAAUUGGAAUGUGUUAUUUUAAUCAUCUAAAUGAGUUAAUAUUAAGAGUGAGAGUGAGUAGGUCUAGUUUUAAGUAAAGUCUUAUAAUUAAAAUUUAUUAAUAAAAAAUAAUAUAAAGAAGAGAUUUCAAUAGCAUACUCUUUAACAAAUUAGUAAUCUUCAUUAAAAUAUUUUGUAGCAAAAUUUUGAUAAGAUACUCUGAUACAUUUACAUACAUAUAGAGGAAAAAUAGAUACCAAACAAAACUUUAAUUAUUUUUAAUCAAGCCUUCUAACAACCUCAUACCAAAAUUCAUAUUUUAUCUUAAUUGAAUGAAUUGAAACAUGGAUAAAAUUUUAAUUUUUCUACCGAAAAACUUGGUUCUUUUAUAAUUAAUUUAUUGUGAUAUUAUUCUAAAGAUAAAAGAUAUGGUUGUUAUUAUUUAAUCUGUUGUGAUAUUAUUCUAAAGAUAAAAGAUAUGAUUCUAAAGAUAUUAUUUAAUCUGUUGUGAUAUUAUUAUAAAGAUAGAAGAUAUGAUUGUUAUUAUUUAAAUUUAUUGUAAUAUUAUUCUGAGAAAAAACUCUAUAAAUAGAGGAUGACCCUCAACAAGAAAGGGGAGGUAUUAUUCUCUGCAAUACAUACUACACCAUGAGUUCCCAUCAUCUCAUUGUGAUCCCCAGACAUUCAAAAGUUGUGGUUACAAGGGAAUCAUCUUGGAGACCACCUCCAAGCUCCAGACCUCAAGUUUGGCAAGAACAAUACCUUUAUUGUGGUUCUUAUUUUCUAAGGCAGGUAAGUGAGACACCACAAGGAAUGGAGAAAACAAUGUAGAAGAAAAAGAAAAAGAAUACGAAGAAGAAUGACCUCAAUUAGGUGAUAAAAACAUGCAAAAUGUUUUCUUUGUCGAGUUAAUAUGGUCAUCUGUUUUAUAUUUUUUUUAAGAUUAAGGUUUCCUUGAGGAGUGUAUGUUUUUAGUUUAAUGUCAUUCUCUCUAACAUGUUGGAGUGUCAGAGAAAUAUAGGAAAAAUUUAUGAUCUUUGUUAGGGUUAAGAAUUACCAUGUGACAAUAAUCAACAAGUAUAAUGAAAGAAAGAUGUACAACAAAAAUAAUAAGAAAAUGGAAGAAAAUACCUUUGUUUCAAGGUCAAUGUACCCCUUACCUGAUAGACCCGAGGCGUAGUUUAUUUUGAUUUUUGAGGUUUAAAUUCUUCUACCUGAAGAAGUUGCCUAAACUUUUGAUCUUUGUCUUUUAUUACAAACAAGUAUGCACCAGGUUUAUUUCUAAAGGAGUUUUUAACUAAGUGUGGUUCAACUUCAAAUCGAAUAUUCUCUUCAUUUAACUCCUUACAAAAGGUUUCUAAGGAAACAAAUUGAAUUUCAAUGUCUGAGUUAGCUCAGGUUAGCUCCAGACAAAGAAUUAUGUUUGAGUUCUUUUUCUAGAUCGGUAGGAAGUGUUGGGUUUUGUGGAUGGUCCCCAUCAUUGGGUCAUGAAAUUCGUGGCAUGCUUUUCUGUGUUGUUGAUUCAAUUGUUUAAUUCUUUUUCUUGAAUCAAUAUUAUUUAGGAUUUCUCUUUUGAAUAUACUGAUCUAUCUCAUUUUAAAUUUCAAUUAAAUUGUUGUCUUGAAUACUUAGCUUUAAUUUUUUAAUCCUUGUCUAGAAUUCAUGUUUCGUCUUACAUGUCUUAAAAAUUCCAUAGAAUUAACCCUUAUUUUUACACAUUGUAUGUCAUGUUCAAAGUCUUUUGAAUCCAUAAUUGUUAUCAAUUCAUGAGUUGUGCUUAGUUUACAAAUUGUUUGAUAAGAUGUUUUAGUCAAUUUUUGCGUGUUAAACCUUUGGUGUCUUUUCAUUUUGAGUCUUCGAGUUCUUGACUUGCUAAUAGACCAAUAGUGAUCCUCAUAAUCCAUUAAUUCCAUUAUGUCUUGGAGUUUUGUUUCAUUUCAUUGGAUUCUUUAGGUUUUUUCUUCGUGACAGGAUUCAGUGAAUUUGUUCUGGAUUGGAAAAAUUAUUGUGAAAUAAAUACACAUCCAAAUUACAUGAAAUUUUAGAUAUGAGAACUUCUAUGUGUUAGUCAUCUUGUGUUAAAAAUGCACAUCCAAAAACGAAGUAGAAAAUAUAUGAUAAAUCAUAAAAUUUUGGAUGUUCAUUGUUGACAAAUUUUGAGCAAAGCUCAGCAUUUCUCUCGAUUUUUAAUAUGUUUCAAUUAGCUCGAUGCAUCUUUUUUAUAUAAAAUAUUUACGACUGUAUAUUUUACUUCUUAUUGGAUGAGGAAGAUUUUGUAUUACUUCAAUAUCUAUUUUAUCAUAGGUCGAAAGAAGGUAUUCGAUCCUAGACUUGAAUUUAUCAAGUUUUUGCCAAUAUAGAGGAAAAGUGUUCUCUGAGAGUCUUUUAACGAGAAUUUUAUCUUGAAAAACUUAUUUUUUUUAAAUUCUUAAACCCUAAACCAAUUCAACCUUAUACCCAUAUUUCAAGUGGUAGAGGUAGAAGUACAUGAAUUUUGUUGAUAGUUGGGGUUAUUGAGAGGUAAUGACAAAAUAUUUGGAAAGAUUUUUAAAAGUAUCAACUAUUAGGGUGAAGUUGGUUAGGGUCAUAUUCAUGGUCGGUAGCAUCCUACUUUAAAAAGGGGAUAAAGUGAAUAAGACAUCAAAUUGUUUGAAAAAAAAACUCUUAUACAAAGGUAAAGUCUAAGUUAUUUUGUGAUGAUUUCACGAAGAUCCUAUUAGAGUUAUUUCACAUCUCUAUCGAAAUGAACUCAACCUAAGCUUCAGAACACAUGUUAAAGGAGGAGACAAACUCCUCAACAAAUUCCCUAUUUAUAUACUAGGAAGGAUAGGUUGCAACUUCCCCAAGUGCCAAGGGUCGACAAUCGGAGGAAAUUAAUCUUUCCUUUUCCUCUUGGCUACGCUUGGAUAUGCCAUAUGCAACACUUAUUGAGAGGGAGCCUUACAUUUUCCCUUAGAGGCAACAAUGGCCUUGUUAGCCACCUUUGCAGUGA
rnacentral:lncRNA from 1 species